rnacentral:rRNA from 1 species
GACGAACGCUGGCGGCGUGCUUAACACAUGCAAGUCGAACGGACAGGCCCUGCUCUUGUUGGUUUCUCGAUUGGCGAACGGGUGAGUAACACGUGAGUAUCCUGCCCUUGACUUUGGGAUAACUUCAGGAAACUGGGGCUCAUACCGCAUAUGAUCUCCUGCUGCAUGUUGUUGGUUGGAAAGUUUCGGCGGUUGGGGAUGGACUCGCGGCUUAUCCGCUUGUUUGUGGGGUAGUGGCUUACCAAGGCUUUGACGGGUAGCCUGCCUGAGAGGGUGAACGGCCACAUGGGGACUGAGAGACGGCCCAGAAUCCUACGGGAGGCAGCAGGGGGGAAUAUGGCACAAUGGGCGGAAGCCUGAUGCAGAAACGUCGCGUGCGGGAUGACGGGCUUCGGGUUGUAAACAGAUGUCGACUGUGACGAAGCGGGAGUGACGGUAAUGGGUAAAGAAGCAACGGCUAACUACGUG